UACAGAGGGGGCAAGCGUUGUUCGGAAUUACUGGGCGUAAAGGGCGCGUAGGCGGCCUGCUAAGUCGAACGUGAAAUCCCUGGGCUCAACCCAGGAACUGCGUCCGAUACUGGUUGGCUUGAAUCCGGGAGAGGGAUGUGGAAUUCCAGGUGUAGCGGUGAAAUGCGUAGAUAUCUGGAGGAAGACCGGUGGCGAAGGCGGCCUGCUGGGCAGUUACUGACACUGAGGCGCGACAGCGUGGGGAGCAAACAGG
rnacentral:rRNA from 1 species